UCAACAUGUUGACAACUGUUAAGCGUCUGCGGCAGACAGUGUCAGACUCGGUCGUGCUACGCGAUAUUCAAAGGUGUCAACGAUACGCGUGCCGUUGACAUACUUUCGCCUGCUCGAUACAUCUCGUCGAAAAUUUACCAGUUUUAUCGUAUACAGCUUGAUCGAUCAGUUUCUUCUUUGCCUAUACGCAACAAUUUCAACGACGAAUUCUACGAAUAUUCAAGAAGCUGGUCGUUAAACGCAACGCUCUGGGCAAUAUGGACAACUACUCGAUUACUAGAAUUUUCAACAAGAGAAUUCACCGUCAAAUCAAACAUGAGAACACCACGAACAUGGAAAUGCCCUCCGAUGGAGCGAGUAAAAUGGAUUCUUCCGUGGAACAUGGACGUGGGAGAAUUCAAGUAUUCCCGGAACGAGACAAAGGGGGAGAAUGAGAAGGGAAUUGAAGAUCGAGGCAAAGAAAACAGAAGAACGAGGCAGAAGGAAGUUUCUCGUCUGUGUGGCAAUGGGCGAGAGACGCACGAAUGUAUUUGGGAGUUUACGAACUUAGAGAAGGGUUUUACUUAUGUAUUAGUUCAUCACAGAAACGACUAUUGCCGAGACGGAUCCAGCUGCGCCCUUUUUACACCAACCUUUCUUUCCCUUGCUCUUUUCCACUCUGUUGUUUUAAGUAUUUAUGAAAAACAUUAAAGCCCCGAAACAUAAACUCGAAUACGAACGUUGACGAAAACGUCAACGAUAAUAUAUCGGAUGAGUUCACGCUGGGAUAUACCCAAUGAAUAUUACGGUAGAACUCCAUUUAUUCGAUCUUGUCAGGGGACAAACAAUUUAUAUACAAUAAUUGGAGUUUAUGUAACAGAAACGUACCAUUUUUCGUUUACAUAAUACGAGCUCGCGUUCAGAUAAGUGAAUCGAAGCAGCAAGUUAAUCAGGCAUUAACUAAAAUUUCGUUCAAAUAAAUACAAUUCCACUAUAUUCGAUUCUGAAAGUUAAUUUGCCUCCCGUCAUUGUUUUCUCUGUUUAUCGAUAACCGUGUGUAUGUAAAAUUCCUCAUACGUGAACGAAUUUGAAAGAAACACUUUAUACGAUCAUAUAGCAGAUAUUUACAAAACAGCAGAAUUUAAAUGAAACGUGUUUAACAUAGGUUUCGCGAUGAAUUACGAGCUCGUAUUUCCAACGUGAAGGAAACCGUACAAGAUAAUUAAGUACAUGUAAUUGCUCUGGAAAAUGAUGUAGAUUUCCCGUGCGUUAUACAAGUUUCAAAGCUUUUCAUUGCAAUUACGCAAGAAAGCACGCCUCAACCACGUGAAACGCGUAAAUUUCAUAGACGUUAUUCCAAUCUUCUAGUUCUAAUCUUCUAAUUUUGAGUAUCUCACGAAACGUGCAUUCUGUUUUUCAUCUUACUGUGACUUUCAUGUUCACGUGAGGUACUAAUGAACAAAAUCAUUUCCAGAAAUAAAACACAUUAAAAUAAAUUACGCUUACUAAAUUAUUAAUAAAUAUUCUCGCAGUUUAUAAAUAUUCCGUUAACUAUUCCAACGUAAUUUUCAUCGCGUAAGCAUCAAACGCGUGUUUUCAUCCGGAGCAGAAGUGAAAAAGGCCUGAUGCGGGAAGAGUGACAAUUGCGAGAAAUUCCUGGGACGUUAAGGCGUCGCGUCGGUGGCAAAGCUCGUAAACGAGCGACGAGAUAAUAGAUUAGAUUGCUGGUGAUGCGUUUAACGUGAAGUCCGGUCACGUUGGCGUUAAACGUAUAGCGAAUGCCAUUUUAUGCAGGCGGCUAUGCAACGAACGAACUCGACGAACGUUCUAGAAAAUCGUGAGUAGUGCCGGUCGUCGAGACUCUUAAAGGUUCAUCUUCAAAUAUUUAAUGAAGCCUCCGUACGAGCCUAUUACAUUUUUAACGCUCGCCGCUCACUCCAAACUCGUAUCCGUGACGAGAAGGAUUUAUAAGCUUCUCAACGACGAAUAAGACAAAAAAAUGUAAAAGCUGGAAAGGAGAAAUGGAAAUUUCCGAACAACCGCAGAAUUAGGUGGAAAAGAUAAAUUCGGAGACGUCUAACAGUGCGUACUCGAGUCGACAUUGUCGAGAUGUUAACUUUAUAAUACAUCGUUUGGGAUCAAAUUCUUUUUGCGUUACCAGCUCCUUUUUUUUCUUUUACCGUAAUGUUCUUUCCGUGUACCGAGAUUUUUUUCAUUUUAUAGCGGAUUCGCCUACCCACGCUGUCCUGUGACCUUUCUUUGUGCCACAUACGUAUUAAUUUUUCGCUCUCUUUCUCUUUCUUUGACGAUAUGAAUUUACAUUACCGGUCAUAACAAUCGGGACAAUUUAAUCAAAUUCUAGUAACAAUAUAAUACAAAUGUGUA